rnacentral:lncRNA from 1 species
GAUUUUGUUGGAGCAAAAUGGUUUCUGAUGCAUUCAAACAUCAAUAAUUAUCAGUGUCAACAAAAUUUACAAGACCAGGCCAGUGGAUGGUGACUAUUUCCACACUUGAUCUUUCUAUUUGACGCUGCAUAACAUAUUAUGGCGUUCGAAGAACAGUCUUCUGUGACCCUCGCAAGAGGGAUGUGGUCUACAUCAAGGGGUAUGAUGGCGAGCCAACGAUGGCGCCGACAGACAGCUGCUCAAGCAGGCGCUGAUGAAGGCAAGCGUCGGCUCAGUGAGGGCAGUGGAGGGCUGUGAAAGUAAUAAGAGUAGACUGCAAUAUAUUUUUGUAGGCCUUCUUUCCUAUGCUACAAAUACAAAAAUACAAACAUAUGUGCGACACUACCUUUGGACCAACUAUAAUGGGUGGUCAUCAUUAUCUCUACAACAGUUUAGGUUGGUCUGGACUGGUAAUUUCUUUGCUGCAACUCAUGCCUAACAUCCUCUAUACAUGUGCACUAAGUAACUAGAUGCUUGCUUUCCUAACAAUUAUCAAUCUGUGAUGGACAUCAGCUCGUAUAACUUUGUUAUUUAUGUAGACUUGUUCAUGUGACUUACGGAUGCAUAUGAAUAUUAUUUAUAUGUCCAGACUUCUAGAAAUGCUCCGUUGUGAAAACAUGGACCAAACAAUCCAUCUGAAUGGGAAGCAGCAAAUCAGAUACCGUUCCACCACCGAGUACAACACUACUCCAAGACCUGCCAUGCCCCCGCCUCCCGCUCCCGCUCCCGCUCCCGCCGUCCCAUCGGUGGUUGCCUCGGGCCGUGGCAGUGUGGUGUGGCACCGGCCUUGGCCCCCGUGCCUUACGGCGAGCUCCUGCCCCGCGCUCAAGCCCUCCUGCAACCCGUCCCGUCCGACCUCUCGGCCGUGAGACGCUCCGCGGCGCGCGUCUUGCCGCCUCCGCCCUCCCCCAUCCGAGCGCCGUCCUCCACCACGAGCUUCGCCGCCGCUUGGAGGAGAGCCCCCCUCUGCCCUCCUUCCGCGGCCACGCGCCGACGUGCCUCUGCGCACCCGUUCCUCGGCUGCGGUUGCCUGCUACGUGUUCGACCAAAUGCUUCAGUGCCCGUUUCCCCUUUCUCCUAUUUUACAACUUCCAGAAAAACGUGAUCUAGUUGGAGUUAUGACUUGCACACUUGUCCUAAUACAUCAUGAUUUACCUAUUGUUAAGUGGUUGCAAGAUGAUGCCAGAUUUAAUAAUGUUGGAGUUGAGAGAGUUAUGGAAACAACCAUCAGGUCAAAGUAAGCACCACCUGAUGCGCGAAAGUGAUGUACGGCGAUGACGAGCGCCAUUGAUUGUGCACGGUGCAGAAGCUUCUAUGGGAAGGGGAGCGGCUGUCAGGUAUGAUCUUUCUUCCCAUCUCUCCCUUUUUAUCAUUUCCAGUCUUGCCAAACAUUGGAUGACACAUCUCCAGAGAAGUUUAGUACUGUUUAUUUAAAUUUCUAAAAUUGGGCAAUUGAGUUAGUCGGAUGCAUAAUUAUCUGCUCCCUCCGUUCCAAAUAAGUGACUCAACUUUGUACUAACUUUAGUACAAAGUUAAUACAAAAUUAAGACACUUAUUUUGGGAUGGAUGGAGUAUUAUUGUAGCCAUUUUUUUAUUCUCCAUUGUUGAAGAUUUAUGCCGUGCUCACCUGAAUUUUGGACGGGAAUCCACAUUAAUCUACCCGUCUACCCCAAAACACCAUGUUAAAAUUGAUUUUGGUUCCCUAUUAUGUACAGUUUCUAAAUUGGCUUCGAUUGUAUUUCGGCAAUUGAAUAUGAUUACGUGCAGUAACAUGUACUAGCAUUUAAUUCAUUUGGUUGACAUGGUGUUACUGAGCUCAGCAUGGUGCCCUGAAAUAAUGGUGAUUUUCCCCUGCCUUGCCCAUCUCCGUAUUUCUUUUUCCACUGUACACAUUGGAUUUUGACAAUCGUGGUUGUGAUCCAUGAUUUAAUUUUGAAAAAAAAGAAGUAAACCACCGGUUUGGACAAGAUGAGACAUUAUUUAUUUAUUUUGGCUUGCACUGCAUGGUCCUCCCUUUGUAAACUAAUAUAUGAUCUUAGUGAUCUAAAAUAUCUUAUAUUAGUUUAUAGAGGGAGUAUUAUGUAGUGUUGCUGCAUGGUGAUAAUUAGUUCAUGUCCAUCUUUUCACUAAAAACAUAUGUUCAGUUGCAAUUUUGGAUAUUUACACAAUUGUCUAUGUUUCGUUUCUAGAUUUUGUUGGAGCAAAAUGGUUUCUGAUGCAUUCAAACAUCAAUAAUUAUCAGCGUCAACAAAAUUUACAAGACCAGGCCAGUGGAUGGUGACUAUUCUGUGACCCUCGCAAGAGGGAUGUGGUCUACAUCAAGGGGUAUGAUGGCGAGCCAACGAUGGCGCCGACAGACAGCUGCUCAAGCAGGCGCUGAUGAAGGCAAGCGUCGGCUCAGUGGGGGCAGUGGAGGGCUGUGAAAGUAAUAAGAGUAGACUGCAAUAUAUUUUUGUAGGCCUUCUUUCCUAUGCUACAAAUACAAAAAUACAAACAUAUGUGCGACACUACCUUUGGACCAACUAUAAUGGGUGGUCAUCAUUAUCUCUACAACAGUUUAGGUUGGUCUGGACUGGUAAUUUCUUUGCUGCAACUCAUGCCUAACAUCCUCUAUACAUGUGCACUAAGUAACUAGAUGCUUGCUUUCCUAACAAUUAUCAAUCUGUGAUGGACAUCAGCUCGUAUAACUUUGUUAUUUACGUAGACUUG